GAGUUUGAUCGUGGCUCAGGACGAACGCUGGCGGCGUGCCUAAUGCAUGCAAGUCGCACGCAGAGUGCUUGCACUCUGAGUGGCGCACGGCUGAGGACCACGUGGGAACAUGCCCUGCAGUGGGGGACAACACCGCGAAAGCGGUGCUAACCCCGCAUACGCUCGCAAGAGGAAAGCGUUUACGCGCUGCAGGAGUGGCCCGCGGCCCAUCAGGUCGUCGGUGGGGUAACGGCCUACCGAGCCAAUGACGGGUAGCUGGUCUGUGAGGACAGACAGCCAGACUGGGACUGAGACACGGCCCAGACUCCUACGGGAGGCAGCAGCAAGGAAUUUUCGUCAAUGGGCGCAAGCCUGAACGAGCAACGCCGCGUGGAGGAUGACGGCC
rnacentral:rRNA from 1 species